GGCCUGUGCUUUCUGAUUUUGUGCAGGAUUGAUAAAAAGAUGCCUACUACUGAAGAAUCACCCCCAAAGUAUUUUUCCAUUAUCUUAAUGUGUCUUUGAGAAAAAAAAAACUUCUAAAGAAGUAGCAUGCUUCUUAUAUUGGGUAAUGAGAACUACUAUAGUUCUGUUCAAGACAAAGUUUCAACAUCUGAGCUAUCCCUCUUCUUUGGAUAAUAGUAACUAUAGAUAAAAUAACAAAAGAGAAAAUUUAAAAUACAAUAACACUUUAAGGAACAAACUAAAUAUGUCUUUGACUAGAAAAGAACAGAAAUGCAAAGCAGUAGGGCUGGAGAUGAGUGUCUGCUGGGCUGUAGCACUGUAGGCAGGCAGAGAUGAUUAGGAGUUCAGCACUCACAAGGUGACAGGAUCUAAAAGUGCCAAGCAGGUGGCAACCAGACAUUGGAUCAUUGUUUGAAAUCAGGGUCUGAGGUGGAGUACCACUGCAUAAAAGGAAGCUUAAAAAAAACAAAAACAAAAAACUGCUGUCUAAUACUACCAGAAUAUCAAGAAAGGAAGUAAAGAUGAAGCUACAGUUUUGAAGCCAGAGCUUCUGUGAAGCUGCCUUCUGGCUCAGUGACGAGUGAUAAUGUCACAAUUAUCCCAAUGAGGCAGGAACACUGAUAUAACAAUAUAAGAUGUAUUUCUAAUUUGGGAUCCUAACAGGGUUGGCUGAGGGCCAUUGAAAACCCACCAGAAAGGGAGGAAAGAGAUGGAGGAAGAAAAGCCUAAAUAAUUG
rnacentral:lncRNA from 1 species